rnacentral:rRNA from 1 species
AUACGGAGGGUGCGAGCGUUGUUCGGAAUUAUUGGGCGUAAAGAGCCUGUAGGCGGUCUGUUAAGUCUGAUGUGAAAGCCCGGGGCUCCACCCCGGAAGUGCAUUGGAUACUGGCGAACUUGAGUACGGGAGAGGAAAGUGGAAUUUCGAGUGUAGGGGUGAAAUCCGUAGAUAUUCGAAGGAACACCAGUGGCGAAGGCGGCUUUCUGGACCGAUACUGACGCUGAGAUGCGAAAGCGUGGGGAGCAAACAGGAUUAGAUACCCCGGUAGUCC